GAUGAACGCUAGCGGCAGGCUUAACACAUGCAAGUCGAGGGGUAUAGUUCUUCGGAACUAGAGACCGGCGCACGGGUGCGUAACGCGUAUGCAAUCUACCUUUUACAGGGGGAUAGCCCAGAGAAAUUUGGAUUAAUACCCCAUAGUAUGUUAGAGUGGCAUCAUUUUAACAUUAAAGUUCCAACGGAAAAAGAUGAGCAUGCGUCCCAUUAGCUAGAUGGUAAGGUAACGCCUUAACAUGGCGACGAUGGGUAGGGGUCCUGAGAGGGAGAUCCCCCACACUGGUACUGAGACACGGACCAGACUCCUACGGGAGGCAGCAGUGAGGAAUAUUGGACAAUGGGCGCAAGCCUGAUCCAGCCAUGCCGCGUGCAGGAAGACGGUCCUAUGGAUUGUAAACUGCUUUUGUACAGGAAGAAACACUCCCUCGUGAGGGAGCUUGACGGUACUGUAAGAAUAAGGAUCGGCUAACUCCGUGCCAGCCGCCGCCGUAAAAC
rnacentral:rRNA from 1 species